AAUACAAAAUAGCACAUCAGGCUCCAAACCUUUAUACCCUUUUAUUUCUAAUCCCAAGACUUUUAUACCUUACCUAAGGAGCUAGAAAAUGAUCACUUUCCCUUUUGUUAAAUUAUAUAUUCACAAGGUUGAAUAAUAGCACAUUAAUACGCACUACUCGUUAUUAAACUGGUCUGAAAAUUCAAUUAUUAUCUCACCACGCUAGCUAAUUAAUUUCAGAUUCUUUCCAUUUUCACCAAAAUAUUGAAGGUUACACGCUCCAAAAAGUAGUUAAAUCCAGUAAAUAUUAAUUGAAAACUCAUUUUAUUUCGAUUUCGAUGACUCUAAAUUCUCUUAAUCCACCUGGAGUAUUACAAUCAUUGUUUUUAAGAUUAUAAAAAUUUAUUUAUGUUAUGCUUUGUAACUUUAAAAUAUUACUCCCUUCAUAGCUUAUUUAAACUUACUGCCAUUUUGAACUUGUAGUAUCAUAUAACUAUGACAAUUUAUUUAUUUGUAAGUUACGCACUUCUAUGUAACUUUGAUAACAUUAUUCCAUAGCUGGUUUAACAUAGUAACUAUUUUUACAAAAGAUAUAUAGUAUUUCUCAAUUAGACAAUGGAUACUAUCCCAUUAAUUUAUUUCCUUUUUAGUGUUCCACUAGUCAAAGUACUUUACGUAAGUUAAAAGUUUAUAUGGAAAGUUUCUAUAAAUGGGAGAUAAAUUCAAUAUUCUGUCUAUAAUAUUACAUUCACCACAUACGGAGCGUGAAAAUUUUCCCUCUUUCUUGAUUUCUUUUAUACCAAUGUUUCCUUCUUUCUUGAUUCAUAAAACUAAGAUUAGUAUUUUUUUUGCCUCUGUUGUACAGAUAUUUGAAAAUGAAGCAGUGAUUAGUUGUUGUAUGUUGUUAUCUAGUGAAACAAGAUUAGGUGCAUUUUGUCUUUCAAUAGUUUGGCUUGUUUGUUUGUUGGAAAUUGAGUUUGAUUAUAAGCGGAAGAAGUGGAGUCAACAUUUAAAGCUUAUGCGUUUGAGAUUCUAGUUCUUUUAAAGUUAUUGAGUUCAAAACUAAUAAUACCUACGUAGAAAACUAUAGGGUUUAGACCAAAGCUGUUGGGUCGUCUGAAUACUCAAGCUAUACAUUGGCUCCACUCCUGAUAAUAUGGAGAAAGUUGGAAAGCAAGAACUGGCUCUAAAGAAAAAGAGGGAAAGAUGUGCUUUUGUGGAUCAAGAUUAUAUAAAAGAGGGUGGAGUUGCCUAUGAUGGGGAUAAUAGUUCUAGUUCUAGCGAUGAUGAACCUGACACGCAUUAUAUGACUUUCUUGGCUAAUGCUAAGCCAGAUGGAAAAUCAUUUGUUGUUAAAGCUAGUGAUCAGAAUGGUUUGCCCGUGUUCCUUAAGUAUGAGAAAGAGGAUGGAUUUGAUGAUGAGCGCCAAUAUGAUAGGGAGUUGGAGAUUCGUGGAGUUGAGAAGAAUCAGGAUAAUGUUAGGGAAAAUUACAAAUUGGGGAGUUCCAAAACUCUGAAGACUAAUGCGAGAAAGAAUAGGAGUGCCUCCAUUGUUGAGAAGCAGAAGACGAAAGAUGGGAUUUUGAGUAAGAAACGAGGGAAGGAGGAUAGGGAUUUAGAUAAAAGGAAGCAAAGAGUUGAUGUGAAGAAGGAGAAGAAGACUCAGAAUGGUAGCAAAUUCAUGGACGCGGAAGUAAGAAUAGAACCUAAAGAAGAUUCUGAUGGAAGAGUAGAACCUAAAGAAGAUUCUGAUGGUCUUGAGGAGGCGAGUCCCCAAAGCGAAGUAGAAAUCCUUGAGAAUGUAGAUGCAGGGGGCAGGGGCAGUAGCUCUAACCCCUUUGUACCUUCAGUGAAACACUCCGAGAAUCUGGAGGAUGCGACAAUUAUAGAUUCUGGGUACAGGAAGGAGGUUCUGAUUUUAUUGAUGAGGCCCUACGAUGACGAGGAGUACAAGAAGCUUUGGAAAGACAUUAAGAUGCAAAUACCAUCUAGCGAUAGUGAAACAAAUACACGUGGAAAAUCCCUUCUAGCACUCCAUAAAGAAUCAGUGAUCGUUAGGAAUUAUUUGAGAUUUGUUACUACAGUGGACUUCUGGAGGAAGAGGAGGAGACUGGGACAUGGAAAAUAGCUCAUUUGACGGUGAUGCAUGCCAUAUAAAAAACAAAAAGGCUUUUAAGGGAGUUGAGAACUCUUUUCAGGAGAGUGCAGCAUCUUUAUUAUUAUCUGUACACUUUUGGAGAGCACGUGAUAUUUUAGUGAGUAGUGAUGACAGGAUGCUAUUUGAAGGAAAUAAUGUUUUCUGUAAGAUUCUCUAUUAUUUGUAAACAACUUUUAUGUGAGAAUUUAUCUUACUAUGUUAAUAAAUUAUAAUCCUCACUAUAAAGGUGGGGAGUCUACUUGAGAAGGUAAGAAACAGGGAUAGAGACAUGACUUGUUUGGAAAUCCUAUUGAUCAAGGAAGGCAAUGAAAAAUCAAUUAAGAGUUUUCCACAAUUGAGAGCUGUGAAUGCAGCAGGAUUGCAAAACUGACAUGCAUAUUUAGGGUUUGCUUCUAUGUAAUUCAGGUGUCAAUCGGGAAAUCAAAAGGACCAAUCAUGACAAAGAUAAAAAGUUGAAUAUCAUGCGCGGAUUUUUCUUUUGGUUAGAGCAUCUAACUCGGGAAGAUGCAUUCAUGCCUUGGGAAGAUGCCGA